AAAUACUUGCCCAUUAUACAUAACAGUCCUCUGGAAAGACCCAGAAACCAAUGCCACUGCCUCUGCCUUAUCUACUCCGUUCGCUCCACCACUCCCAUUCCUACUCCCGCAGCAGCCUCCUCCGUUACGCCGCCACUCAUCUCUGUCGUUCCAUGGCCACCACCACCACCAAUUCCGCCUCUUCCUCCGUCGCCGCCGGCGGCGAGCCCAUUUCCCCAGCCACCACGCGUCUGGGCUGGAUCGGUACCGGCGUCAUGGGCCGAUCCAUGUGCGCCCACCUUAUCAGAGCCGGUUACACUCUCAUCGUCUUCAACCGGACCCUCUCGAAGGCCCAGGCACUCCUCGACAUGGGAGCCCACCUCGCUCCCUCCCCCUCCGCUGUCGCCUCUCAAUCCGACAUCGUCUUCUCCAUCGUCGGCUACCCCUCCGACGUCCGAUCCGUCCUCCUCGACCCCGCCUCCGGCGCCCUUUCCUCCCUCCGCCCUGGCGGCGUCCUCGUCGACAUGACCACCUCCGAUCCCUCCCUCGCUGCCGAAAUCGCCACCUCCGCCGCCUCCAAAGGCUGCGCCUCCGUCGACGCUCCCGUAUCCGGCGGCGACCGCGGCGCCAAGAACGCAGCACUCGCCAUAUUCGCCGGUGGCGAUGAGCCUGUGGUUCACCGCCUCGCCCCAUUGUUCAACCUUCUUGGGAAAGUCAACUACAUGGGUGGGCCGGGAAAGGGGCAAUUCGCGAAGCUCGCGAAUCAAAUCACGAUAGCAUCGACGAUGGUGGGGUUGAUUGAAGGCAUGGUUUAUGCCCAUAAGGCGGGUCUCGAUGUGUGUUUGUAUUUGAAGGCGAUAUCGAGUGGGGCAGCUGGAUCGAAGUCGCUUGAUUUGUACGGGAGCAGGAUACUGAAGAGGGAUUUUGAACCAGGGUUUUACGUGAAUCACUUUGUGAAGGAUUUGGGGAUUUGUUUGAGGGAGUGUGAGAACAUGGGUCUCUCUCUUCCUGGGUUGGCACUUGCUCACCAGCUUUACCUGUCGCUAAUCGCUCAUGGAGAAGGAAAUUUGGGUACUCAAGCGCUUGUUCUGGCUCUCGAGCGCCUCAACAAUGUUUCCCUUGAUUCUGGGACUUCUGCGGCGGAGCCGUCAUAGACUGAUUGUUGAAUCGUUGUAUCGAGUGUGGGGUAUCGCUUGGAGAGGGGGCUCCACCCUAGUUGAAUGAGUGAACCGAGCGUGGGAUAUCACUUGGAGAGGAGCGCUCUAUCCUAUUUGAAGGAGUGUUGUAAAUGUUUGCUCCGCCCGUAAAGGAGUGGUAUAGUGGAAUUCUUAGGUGCGUCGUCUAAGGCGAGGACAUAGGCAGGAGAGAGGUGAAAAGAAAAAUGGAGAAAAAGCCAUUAUUUAGUUUGAAGUGUUAAUCAGAAGUCCUCGUGGCCAACUGGUAUUCCUAAAAGUUUCAUUCCAGCGAGAUUAUCAGAUCAGGACAUGCACCAGGCUCUUUGUUCCUUCCUUGCAAGCAAGCUGGUAAUUAUGUAUGACAUCUAUUGAUGUGUUUGGUUUUUCACAGGACGACCUUAGUGUAAAAUCAUACUUGAAAGAAAGCCAACAUGGCACACGAUGAGAAACCAGUCAUACCAAACCAACACCUCAAUCUUUUUCUAAUCAAUUCCAAAUGAUCUUCUUGUUUUAGAUA